rnacentral:rRNA from 1 species
GUGGGGAAUAUUGGACAAUGGGGGGAACCCUGAUCCAGCCAUGCCGCGUGUGUGAAGAAGGCCUUUUGGUUGUAAAGCACUUUAAGCGAGGAGGAGGCUACCGAGAUUAAUACUCUUGGAUAGUGGACGUUACUCGCAGAAUAAGCACCGGCUAACUCUGUGCCAGCAGCCGCGGUAAUACAGAGGGUGCAAGCGUUAAUCGGAUUUACUGGGCGUAAAGCGCGCGUAGGUGGCCAAUUAAGUCAAAUGUGAAAUCCUCGAGCUUAACUUGGGAAUUGCAUUCGAUACUUGUUGGCUAGAGUAUGGGAGAGGAUGGUAGAAUUCCAGGUGUAGCGGUGAAAUGCGUAGAGAUCUGGAGGAAUACCGAUGGCGAAGGCAGCCAUCUGGCCUAAUACUGACACUGAGGUGCGAAAGCAUGGGGAGCAAACAGGAUUAGAAACCCGAGUAGUCC